AGAGUUUGAUCCUGGCUCAGGAUGAACGCUGGCGGCAUGCCUAAUACAUGCAAGUCGAACGAGAGGAAGGAAAGCUUGCUUUUCUGAAUCUAGUGGCGAACGGGUGAGUAACACGUAGGUAACCUGCCCAUGUGUCCGGGAUAACUUCUGGAAACGGAUGCUAAAACCGGAUAGGUAGCAGACAAGCAUUUGACUGCUAUUAAAGUGGCUUUGGCCAUGAACAUGGAUGGACCUGCGGUGCAUUAGCUGGUUGGUGAGGUAACGGCCCACCAAGGCGACGAUGCAUAGCCGGCCUGAGAGGGCGGACGGCCACAUUGGGACUGAGACACGGCCCAAACUCCUACGGGAGGCAGCAGUAGGGAAUUUUCGUCAAUGGGGGGAACCCUGAACGAGCAAUGCCGCGUGAGUAAGGAAGGUCUUCGGAUCGUAAAGCUCUGUUGUAAGAGAAAAACGGCACUCAUAGGGAAUGAUGAGUGAGUGAUGGUAUCUUACCAGAAAGUCACGGCUAACUACGUGCCAGCAGCCGCGGUAAUACGUAGGUGGCGAGCGUUAUCCGGAAUGAUUGGGCGUAAAGGGUGCGUAGGUGGCAGAUCAAGUCUGGAGUAAAAGGUAUGGGCUCAACCCGUACUGGCUCUGGAAACUGAUCAGCUAGAGAACAGAAGAGGACGGCGGAACUCCAUGUGUAGCGGUAAAAUGCGUAGAUAUAUGGAAGAACACCGGUGGCGAAGGCGGCCGUCUGGUCUGGAUUCUGACACUGAAGCACGAAAGCGUGGGGAGCAAAAAGGAUUAGAUACCCUAGUAGUCCACGCCGUA
rnacentral:rRNA from 1 species